AAACAAAGAAAGAACUUCCAGGCCCACUAAUAAGCUUACUAGAGUUCAUCCUAAAUCUGGCAAGAGCAGCCUUUCAACACCUCAGGCCAGGGCUUCCUUCCUUUAGCUCAGAACAAGCACACAGUCUUAGGAGGCCUCAGUAGGCCAACUCCUUUCAAUUCUCCCCUAUGGAUUGAGGCCCUCCAGGGACCCAGGGUCCUGUCCAUUUGCUGGAUCAGAAAGAAGGCCUAAGUCAUCCUAAACUCAGGCUUCUUAUCCAAAAGUCGUUUACUUUGUUUGUUGAUCUCUGGAGAAUCCAGUUUGAACUAGUAUAUGCAUAUGUCUCCACAGGAAUUCAAAGGCUGAUCAUAGAAGUUCAUCUGGCUCACUCUGUGGAACUGUGUAGGGCUGGAAGUGGCCAUGACCUCGCCUCCUCCCUACAAGGAGGUACGAUUUGCACCCACAGGGGCAUGCAGAUUCCAGGAGCUGUGACUGAUCCUUUUACGGUCACAAAACUACAAUUGUACAUCUAAAGUGAUUUCCAGGAUUCGCAGGACAGAAUGGACAAAUCUGGAGUACGUGGCUAGACUACAUAAGCAACAAGGAAGAUAUACCAGAUCAGAUUAACACCACGGAUGAAGCAGAUUGAAGCAGGAUCGGGAUCUCUCACCACACCAGCCAAGGAGGAGAGAGAGCUAUAAAGCACCCUGCUUCCCCAAAUGAGGGAAUUCG
rnacentral:lncRNA from 1 species